CCCGUUUGUCUCCUCCAGCGGCAGGAUGGGAGCCACCGUUCCUCCAGAACCAUGAACAGCCAGGUGCAGUAAUUCACACCUGCAGUUCCUGUGCUCUGCUAGUGAGAUGGGAGGUGGAGACAGACGAAUUCCUGGAUGACUGCGGGACAGAUAGCUGCAGUGCACAGCAGUGAUCAGCUUCAAAUUGGAUAGAAGUGAUUCGUGGGCAAUGGAACUUUCUAGAAGAUAAACUACCUUCUCAGGCUGUGAAAACAGAAACUCAGAGGCGGUAUCCUUUGUCCUGUCCAGCAACAUUAUGGUGCAUGAGUAUAUGGUGGGUGAAUGGAAGAAAGAGACAGAAACUUUCAUGUGCUGGGGAGCCAAGGGCAGUGAGGAAACCUCGGACAUGGGAGACCUGCUUGCCACCCAGACCAUGGUGAUGUCUGGGCCUGGGCUGCUGCCAAGGACCAAGUCUAAGUCUGUGGCCCUGACACAACUGUUACCAUUGAAGGCCCUGUGGACACCCAGAGGCUGGGUGUCCAUGUGGGGGUCGAAGGGAUUUAUCCCUGCAGGGGCAAUGCCAUUCAAAGAGUCCUGCACUACUUCCAAACGUCUAGAUUGCUGCCAGGAGCUAUGUUUGGGUCUAUUGCUCUGCAGCAGCCAGGCUAUGUGUUGUUGUCAGUGACUCUUAUUACCACAGAGGGCCAUGCAGAGGCCUGUAGUUUGGGCCUACACCUGAGGCUAAAUUAGUGUUUUAGGGUCAUAUGACCCUUGGGACCAAACAGAGCUGGGUGGCAAGUGCUAGCACUUAGGACCAUGGUGACAUCCAGACCUAAACUACAGCUGAAAUCCAUGUCUGGAUCCAUGGCCCUACAGUAGCCAGUGUCUACAUUGAUGUCUGUGGCUACUCUUAAGCACUGAAGGCAAAGUGGAGGCACAAGGGGCGGGGUUGACACCUUGGGACAUAUUGGCACCUGAGUGCUAUAGUGCUAUACUGUCACUGGGGCCAUGCCAAUCUGGGUGACCUGUGAUGCCAGCUAGGGUCAUGAUGACAUUAGAGCCCAAGCUGUUCCCAGGGACCAUAAACACUUGGGUGAAAUGCACUGCCAACCAGGACCAGGGGGUCUUAUGGGUAGAAGAGUGGCUGGUGCCAUGUCUGGUUCUGUGGCCCAGCUGCAGGCAUGGUCUGUGUUAAUGUUCGUGGCUCCUAUUGCCAAUGAGGGCAGAGUGCAUGCCUAGGAUCUCAGCUGCCAUCUGAGGCCAUAUUGGUGUUCCAGGGCCAGGCAGCCCAAUCUGAGUGAGCUGUACUACCACCUGGGUCCAUGCUGACAUCCUGGCUUGGCUGCUCACAAAGACGAUGUCUGGGGUCCCAUGACCAACCACAGUCAGGGUCUGUGUUGACAUCCAUGGCUCAUGUUGCCACCCAGAUCCUGGGCUGCCACCUAGGCUCAUGUUAGUGUGUGAAGGCCAUGCCUCUGCCAGGGCCAUACAGAUCUGAAUGGCAUGCACUACCACCCAGGGCCAUGGUGUCAUCUUGGUCUGGGCUGCUGACAAGGGCCACAUCUGGGUCCUUGGCCCUGCCAUAGCCUUGGUCUGUGUUAAUGUCUGUGAUUCCUCUUGCCAUGGAAGACAGUAAUGAUAGGGCUGCACAGAGUUGGUUCCACCCCUCACUGGCUGCAGCAAUAGUGAGAACUGUACCUGUGCACCAAUUGUAGCACUCUGGAGAACAGGCUCCGCACCUCUGCUGAGCAGUGCAGUGGAGCUGACCCCAUUGAUGGAGGGUAAGGUUGUAAGCUGGUCCUGAAGGCAUGAGAGUGGGAGAGCUGGCUGCACUAUCUGUCUCUUACCAUGACAUGGGUGAGGGAGAGAUACCUCCUCACCCCUUGACACCUCCUGCAGGUGGAAAUGAUAGUCCUGGUGAGAGUGGGAGAGCUGCCCCUGUCCUUCACUGGCUGCAGCACUCAGGAGAACAAUUCUGCACCUCAGCUGGGCAGCACAAUAGAGCUGGCCCUGCUUACAGGGGCUGAGAUGAACUUACCCUAAGGGCUGGAGAGCAGAAGAGCUGACCCAACUCUACUUGUCUGCCAUGUGGUGAUAUGGGUGAGAGAGAAAAAUGACCCCCAUCCCUUGCCCUCUAUGGCCUUGAUAGCAUGACAUGAGUUUGGGAGAGCUGGCCUUGUACCUCACCAACUUCAGCACUAGGGAGAGGGAACCCUGUACCUUGCUUAGAAAACAGUAGAGUUGGCCCUGGAGGUGUGGGUGCAGGUGAGCCCAUCCCAAGGGUGUCAGAGCAGGCUCCAUACCUUGCUAGCUGGGGCAAUGCUGGAGAGCUCUCUCUAUUGGUAAUGAUGAGAGAAAGCUGGAAGCCGACCAACUGAACUAUCAGCCAGGACCAGAGCCAGGGCUAUGAGUUGUCCCACCCCAACAUCCACCUCAUCUAUGAACUGCUGAAGCAUGUGCAGGGCCUGACCUGAAGACACAAAGCUGCAGGAUGUCCUUGACACAAGGCAACAACAGGAUGUCCAAUAGGAGUCCCAGUGAAGGUCCAGUAUUGAGGACAUAGCAGAAGCCAGAGGCUUUGAACCAGACCAAUGACUCAUCCCAAUGAACACUUACAAGUAAAGAUGUAUGGAUCAAAGUAUACUACUAUGUGACUCACUCUGUCACACUUCAGCUUCCAUGCUGUUUUAUUCUCUAUGUUUGUUUGGUUGUUAUUGUUUUUUUCUGCUUUUUGUUUUUCUAUUGAAUUUUGUUUUAUUUGGGAUGGAGGUUGCAAGGGUGGAGGGUGAAUAUGAAGUGACAGAGAGAUGGAUGUGAUAGGGAUGCAUGAUGUGAAACCCACAAAGAAUCAAUAAAGAAAAGCAGUGAUGCAUUUGUUCA